CCAUGACACUGGAUGAUCCUUUGGAUUCCUGCAACCUGCUCCAAGGAGCACUCUGGCAUGUCCACCACCACUCACCGCUCCAUCCUUCCUGAAAGGAAACUUCUAAGAUCCUGUUUAAUUUCUCCAUUCUCUAAAAUGUCGCUUUAAUACAAAAGAGCCUUUCAAAUUCAUUUACAAGUUCCAUAACAAUGAACUAACAGGAGGAGGAAUGGUGAUAGAUGGAGACCAGAGGAUCAGGAGGCUCAAAAGCUAUCCAUGGCUGUUCAAAGUUCAAGACCAGCCUGGCCUACAUCAGACUGUCUCAAAAAAUACAUACAUAUAAAUAAAAAUUUUAAAUUGAAGAAAAAUCAAAAAUUUUCUAGUGACUAAAAUUUUGGGACAAUAUAUGAACUUUAUACUCUACAGCAGAGCUGCACAGCAUACAUGGAGCCAGGUGUACAAUUUUCAACUUUCUAGUUCACAUGAAAAUGAAAAUUUCCAAUGCCUAAUAAACCAUUUUGUUACUGCUUUGUUUUUGAAGCUGA